rnacentral:rRNA from 1 species
UACGUAGGGGGCUAGCGUUGUCCGGAAUCAUUGGGCGUAAAGCGCGUGUAGGCGGCUUGCCAAGUCCGGUGUGAAAACUGAGGGCUUAACCCUCAGCCUGCACUGGAAACUGGCUUGCUAGAGUCCGGAAGAGGGGACUGGAAUUCCUGGUGUAGCGGUGAAAUGCGCAGAUAUCAGGAAGAACACCCGUGGCGAAGGCGGGUCCCUGGGACGGUACUGACGCUGAGACGCGAAAGCGUGGGGAGCGAACAGG